rnacentral:rRNA from 1 species
GAUGAACGCUGGCGGCGUGCCUAAUACAUGCAAGUCGAGCGAACAGAUAAGGAGCUUGCUCCUUUGACGUUAGCGGCGGACGGGUGAGUAACACGUGGGUAACCUACCUAUAAGACUGGGAUAACUUCGGGAAACCGGAGCUAAUACCGGAUAAUAUUUCGAACCGCAUGGUUCGAUAGUGAAAGAUGGUUUUGCUAUCACUUAUAGAUGGACCCGCGCCGUAUUAGCUAGUUGGUAAGGUAACGGUUUACCAAGGCGACGAUACGUAGCCGACCUGAGAGGGUGAUCGGCCACACUGGAACUGAGACACGGUCCAGACUCCUACGGGAGGCAGCAGUAGGGAAUCUUCCGCAAUGGGCGAAAGCCUGACGGAGCAACGCCGCGUGAGUGAUGAAGGUCUUCGGAUCGUAAAACUCUGUUAUUAGGGAAGAACAUACGUGUAAGUAACUGUGCACGUCUUGACGGUACCUAAUCAGAAAGCCACGGCUAACUACGUGCCAGCAGCCGCGGUAAUACGUAGGUGGCAAGCGUUAUCCGGAAUUAUUGGGCGUAAAGCGCGCGUAGGCGGUUUUUUAAGUCUGAUGUGAAAGCCCACGGCUCAACCGUGGAGGGUCAUUGGAAACUGGAAAACUUGAGUGCAGAAGAGGAAAGUGGAAUUCCAUGUGUAGCGGUGAAAUGCGCAGAGAUAUGGAGGAACACCAGUGGCGAAGGCGACUUUCUGGUCUGCAACUGACGCUGAUGUGCGAAAGCGUGGGGAUCAAACAGGAUUAGAUACCCUGGUAGUCCACGCCGUAAACGAUGAGUGCUAAGUGUUAAGGGGUUUCCGCCCCUUAGUGCUGCAGCUAACGCAUUAAGCACUCCGCCUGGGGAGUACGACCGCAAGGUUGAAACUCAAAGGAAUUGACGGGGACCCGCACAAGCGGUGGAGCAUGUGGUUUAAUUCGAAGCAACGCGAAGAACCUUACCAAAUCUUGACAUCCUUUGACAACUCUAGAGAUAGAGCUUUCCCCUUCGGGGGACAAAGUGACAGGUGGUGCAUGGUUGUCGUCAGCUCGUGUCGUGAGAUGUUGGGUUAAGUCCCGCAACGAGCGCAACCCUUAAGCUUAGUUGCCAUCAUUAAGUUGGGCACUCUAAGUUGACUGCCGGUGACAAACCGGAGGAAGGUGGGGAUGACGUCAAAUCAUCAUGCCCCUUAUGAUUUGGGCUACACACGUGCUACAAUGGACAAUACAAAGGGCAGCGAAACCGCGAGGUCAAGCAAAUCACAUAAAGUUGUUCUCAGUUCGGAUUGUAGUCUGCAACUCGACUACAUGAAGCUGGAAUCGCUAGUAAUCGUAGAUCAGCAUGCUACGGUGAAUACGUUCCCGGGUCU